rnacentral:sRNA from 2 species
GCCUGCAUUAAUGCCAACUUUUAGCGCACGGCUCUCAAAGAGCCAUUUCCCUGGACCGAAUACAGGAAUCGUGUUCGGUCUUUUUUU